UUAAAAAUCGCAGAAUGUUGAAAACCAAAAGUGUCUCAUUGAUGACAAGCUAGUCCAGACUCGAUUAUCCGAAGUCAAGUGAAAAUUUUCACUUUCGAAAAAUAAUCAAACAAACAUCCGAUAGUCGUAUUACAUAGCGCACAAAAAACAAGAAUAAGAAUUGCAAUCAGGCGACUUUUAAUGGCUUAUUGAAUUUUCCGUACUUGCCGGCUACAUGACGGACCAUUAGACCACC